rnacentral:tRNA from 1 species
GCUUCCGUAGCUCAGUUGGUUAGAGCUUCGUACUAAUACUCGCCUGACAGCGCUGCAUUAGUGAUGCGAAGGUCGCAGGUUCAAGCCCUGCCGGGAGCA